rnacentral:rRNA from 1 species
GACAGAGGCCCCAAGCGUUAGGCGGAAUCACUGGGCUUAAAGCGUGUGUAGGCGGCUGCCUAAGUGUCUUGUGAAAUCCCCCGGCUCACCCGGGGAACUGCUGGGCAUACUGGGCGUCUUGGGCCAACUAGGGGCAGCCGGAACAAGCGGUGGAGCGGUGAAAUGCGUAGAUAUCGCUUGGAACGCCGAAGGUGAAAACAGGCUGCUGGGGUUGCGCCGACGCUGAGACACGAAAGCCAGGGGAGCAAACGGG